AAAUGUAGUUAAUUAUGUGCAAGCAGCAAUUCAAGGAUGUAGGUGGAAGCCUCCAGUAGGUACCUUAACUGAUGCAAGUCUAUUUCUCCCACUCUACUGGCUUGAGUUUGACAAUUCUACAUUCACACCUGGGUACCUGCUUGAGGUCCUGCUCACUGCAAUGCAUAAAUCCUUAAAAUUUUACACACAGUGCUAACAGAACAGAGUUCUAGCUGCUUGAAACACUUUUUCAAAAACCACACAAUGCUUUAGCAGAAUCAUGAAAAUAGUGGCUAACGGACUGACAAAAGCUAAAAGUAACUGAUUCUUAGGUUUAGUUCAUGAAAGCCUGCUUUCCCAUUUUUCUGUGUGAUCUUCCCCACAAAUAUAAAGAAAUAGAUUAAACGCAUGAAGAGUUAGCAAAGAUAACAACAACCAUCUCACAUUGUGUAAGAUGAUUUUGAACCAUAUGUUUUAUUGCAAUUGAUAUAAAAUCUCUCCUAUUGUACUGCAGUGAACCAAAUGGUUGUGUCAAAAAAAAACCCCUGUUUCCAGUGGUUUUCUUCCUUUCACUAGGAAACAGCCUAAAGCCAACCCUCUCUUCCAUCUCUGUCCAAAUCAACCAAUAGAGAGAGCACACUCCUACCCUUCCUACACAUACACAUUAUAAUCUGGAGUAUAUUGAACCCAUUCCAGUUUAAAAUGUCCUGCAAGAUUGUGGUUUCAAAUGAAAAAAAAAUAGAGAAAUUUAAAAAAAAAUUGGAAAAAAAAGGGGAACAGUGAAGAAAGAAACAAAUAAAUCUGUAUCGCUGUUUCUCUUUCCUGUGAACCAAAAUGUCCCUUAAGAGUACAAUAAGAGUAUUUCUGUCUGGAGUAUAUUCUGCUUUACAACCAUCCAGAAACCGAAGGUUUUAUAAUAUAAGGUGACUCCCUAGCCUUAGUUGAUGAAUGGCUAUAAUUUUCCAUUGGACAUCCUGAAUCAUCCAACUUGCCACAGCUAGGAAUCUCUCUAACUCUGAAUUGAAGCUAUAAUUCUAAAACGUAAGAGUCUGCUCUGAAAGGGUAACACAUUGGUUGUGAAUCCCUGACAUUCAAGCACUGUCAAGGAAAAAAAAAACCAAUCAAACAAAAAACAAAUGCUAUUUAUUUACAGAGAAAAGGAUUAUGAGUGAGUUUAGUAAUUUUCAUGCUGAGCACAAAACCCUAACUGGGGUUCAAAAGAAGAAUUACAACUGGAUAAAGCAGAAUGCAGGAGUAGGUAGUACCACAGAUCUCAAAUAUAAAAGCAUUAUCAAGGAUAGAUGACUCAAAACAGGUCAGAUAUAAUGACCUAUAUUAAUAACAUGGAGAAGUAGGUUUAUUUGGCCUAAAACCCAGGGAGAAAAAAUUCCACUCUUUUUCUUCCUUACAAAUAGGAAUUUGAAAGUAAGAGGCUGAAAUAAAGCGAUCAUUGGUUAUUAAAAUUAUGUAAUCAAACUCUGAAUUCUCAGGAUGAAAAGGUAGUUAAUAUUUAAUGUAUUAAACACUGUAAAGCUCUAGCAUCAGCAGAACAAAAUAAUGUUAAAAAACGAAUAUUUUUCCUAAGUGAAACUUGUUUUGGAGAUCACAGUGAGGCUUACAGUUGUAACUCAGGAACUAGACUAAUGUCUGAGAGACAUCAAGAAUAAUGGCAAUAUUUUGUAAGAUGGAAAAAAAAGAUGAGGACUAGUAGUGAACUAGAAGUGAGAAGUGCAAAUGUGUAAUCAAGAUAAUCUUGUGAGAGGAGGGCUGUAUGGUAUAGUUAGGUCACUUGACUAUCUUAUUGAAGAUCUGAGGUUUUUUGCUGGACCAAGCACACUAAAUCUUCUGUGCCUUGACAGCUGCUGAAGGCCCUGGGGAUGUGAAAUAUGCAGGACAAGUUCCAAAAUAUUUCAGUGCUUCAGUUCUUACCUCUACAGUAAAAAAUGCUGCUUCCUUUACCUCUUCCCAAAACUCUAAGUACGCUUGUGUGUGUCUCUGAGAUUCCUGCUGAUGUUUGUUUCUGGUUGGACCUACAAACAAGAAUGUGGCAGUCACAUCCCUUAGCCCAGUCACAAACCCCCAGUUCACAGAGCAGUGGGCCGGGCUCCAGCAGCCAGACAGGAUUGCUCUGAGCCAAGCAGUUGGAUAUAUUUCCUAUGAAAUUACAUGGAAAAUCCCAAGUCCACUCAAGUAAGUGACAGAGAUGCCAUCACAUGGGUUGAACCAGAAUUUCACUAUAAUUUCAUUUAUACUAAUCUUGUACAUUUUCCACUAAUUGAAGAAUAUUGAAAUCCACACAGAAUUAACAGAGAAUAAAACAAUCCUGAUUUAAGGGAAUGUGAGUUAUUUUUUCCAAGUAUUAGGACAGUAGUCUUUUUUGGCUAUUAGCCAUCUGGUCAGCUGUUUAUUAAUUCACAAAAUAAACACCAGCUUCAGCUUGGUGAGUAAGGAAUGCCCCAAGAUCCAGGCAAGCAACUUGCACUUGGCAGAUUUUUCAUAGUCUUCAAGCCCAAAUCAGGCAAAUGAGAAAACAAACACCAAGUCUGCUUUUUCUCAAGUACCAACCAGACUUUCAGGAGACAUAAGGUGUUAUUAUAAAUUAUGAGCCCUUAUCUAGCAUGUUCAAAAUACAGUUGCAACUAGAGAUAUGUGGUGGGACUGGCAAAUACUGAUCCAGUUUACAUUUGAGGGCAGUGAGAAAACCCUAUUUUCCUAAGUGUCAAUAACCUCAUAGCCAACUCUAUAAAUAAGCACCAAAUGGAUUUUGUGGGAUGGUUCGAUUUCUAUUAGAUUUCAUUUUCAAGUAUUAGUGAUGUCUGAUUUACUUAUUUUUACUUCCAGAAAAUGUCAUCUACUAAGAAACAUAGACUUGUGUGAGUGCUGCACUUUAAAUGAAAAAUUAACUGAAGGUGAAACUCUAACAGCAGUUUUCAGCUUUUAGGUGACAUUCAAAGCUGCAUUCCAGCAAGGAUCAUUUUAACUUUUCUGCUGUAACAGGGACUAAAACUGUUUCCUGAAAGUCACACUACAAAGCAUUUUAAAUAAUAACUUGACCCUUUAUCUUCUGUAAAUUUGCCAGGAUGUAAUUGGAUUAGCCUAGAAAAAACCCAGCACUAUUCCUGUCUAUUGGAAAGAUACAGGAUUAAAAAACAGGCUAACAAUUCUCAGAGUGGAUCUGUGCAAUUUCUGCUGCAACCCAUAAAGCUUAAUAAAUUAUUAUUUAAGGAAAGAAAAGCAUUGAAAAUCUACACAGAAGACACAUUAAAGUCAUCUUUACAGUGGUCUUCUAUUAAUUACAUUUUAAAAAAUAUAUGUAUAUUAAAUGGAGAAAGGGUAUUUCCAUCACUUUUAAUUGCAUUUCUUUAACUGCAAAGAUGAUAUGUAGUAUGCAAUCUAACUUAUUACAAAAGAAAACCAGUAUAUGUGAUAUUGAGUAGUUUCUCAGGAUGUACUGGUUUACAUGUAAAAAAUUAAAAUAUGGAUUCUGAAAUACAUUAAAUUUCCACCGAAGUACUUUAAUAGCUUAACUACCAUAACUACAGAAGAUCCCUGUAUGCAUUACUGUAUCAAACUAAUUUAUUUGAAUAUUUUAUAUUAGGUAAAUCCAGAACAAAUAGUUAACACUUUCAAGACCCAGACACAGUAUUUUCACAUCUUUUGUGGAUUACCAUUUGGAUAAAACUGUGGUUUUACACAGAAAGUGGUUGUGCAAAAAUUUGACUAAUACUUUCACCUUAUAUUCCAGGUUGAGAAGAACAGCUUGAUUUAUCUUUUACUUAUCAAGUCUGCAAGUAAUGCUGUGAAGAGGAACAACUGUAAAUUAUUCACUUUCUUUUUUAUUGUUUCCACUAUAAACAACAUGUUUUGGUGUAUUUUACCAUUUUGAUAAUGCAAAUCCUACACAAAUGUGACUCCAGGGCCUUCAUAUCUUGGGUUCCUGAAAUGAGUAAUGUUAUUUCAUGGAAAAAAUAUCAGCAAUAGGAAGUUUUCUGAUUUUUUUCCCCAGAUAUGUCUCCCCUGCUUGGAAACAGUUUACAUAUACCAAAACAUACAAAAACUGAAGAAAAAAUGUGGCAUUUUCACUGACUACAUAUACGUGCAUCUGUCAGUAUGUACACAAACAUAUACGGAAAUUUGCUGACAGAAACUGUUUUUCUGUUCAUGAAGCUUAGGUUUUGCUGCAUUUGGGAAAAAAAACCCCAAUUGCUGUGUCCAAAAUAUUUCGUUCAGAGACUGAUGCUUCUUAAAUUGAUUUGUUCAUUUUAUACAGGUAGGAGAUGAAGACCACAUUGACAUAAUUCAAGGGAAAUUAAUAUUAGAAACCUAACAUUGUAAAGAUAAGAAAGCUUGUCUUAGGCUUAAUAUAAUUAAAUAUUUUUGCCACUUCUUAUAAAGUACAUUUUAGUAGGUUGGGAUGAAGCUGCCACACAGGUGCUUGGACAACAGCAUUCACAGGUCUAACAGAUAGGGAUUCAGUUAUGAAUCCCUAUCUGUUGAAGUUUGAUGCAGAUGACAAGAAACUCAACACCUCCAGUGGCCAGGGCUUUGCAUGGAUGGCUGGAAAGAUGCUGAUAGCACACCAGUGUUCUGGCUGCAGCUGGGCAGCACUGGCACAGCUCAGCCCUGCCUCUCCAGUGUUCCCCCAGCUGGAGGGCAAUUUCAAAAUCCCUGGAGGGGACAUAACCAGGAUAGCUGACCCAAACUGACCAAAGGGAUGCUCCAAACCAUGUGACAUCUGCUCAGAUAUAAAAGAAAAUAAACAUAAUAUCCUAUAUAUGGCAAAGCAGAGCACCAGUGAAGAUUAACCUUUUACUUACAAUUGUUGCAAGGAAGGCCUAUCAUCUAUAAGGAAAUUGUCGUAUUGAUAAUCAAGCACUGAAGACUUCUGGAUAAGUGUAUCUGAAGAGUACACCAAAGUGAUUUCAGAGGACAGCAUCAUGUUUUUAUGGUUUGACCAUUCUCUGCAUGUGUAAUUGUAAUACUGUUAAAUUUUCUCUACCAUCCUUAUCAAAUUAAAUGGCAGAAAACCA